rfam:Candida maltosa Xu316 contig5236_C12738, whole genome shotgun sequence.
AGCGGCAUGGCGCAGUGGUUAGCGUGCGAGGCUCAUAACCUUGAGGUCCCUGGAUCGAGACUAGGUGCCGCUA